rnacentral:rRNA from 1 species
GACGAACGCUGGCGGCGUGCUUAACACAUGCAAGUCGAACGGAAAGGCCCUGCUUUUGUGGGGUGCUCGAGUGGCGAACGGGUGAGUAACACGUGAGUAACCUGCCCUUGACUUUGGGAUAACUUCAGGAAACUGGGGCUAAUACCGGAUAGGAGCUCCUGCUGCAUUGUGGGGGUUGGAAAGUUUCGGCGGUUGGGGUUGGACUCGCGGCUUAUCAGCUUGUUGGUGGGGUAGUGGCUUACCAAGGCUUUGACGGGUAGCCGGCCUGAGAGGGUGACCGGCCACAUUGGGACUGAGAUACGGCCCAGACUCCUACGGGAGGCAGCAGUGGGGAAUAUUGCACAAUGGGCGGAAGCCUGAUGCAGCAACGCCGCGUGCGGGAUGACGGCCUUCGGGUUGUAAACCGCUUUCGCCUGUGACGAAGCGUGAGUGACGGUAAUGGGUAAAGAAGCACCGGCUAACUACGUG